AUACGGAGGGGGUUAGCGUUGCUCGGAAUUACUGGGCGUAAAGCGUUCGUAGGCGGUUUGUUAAGCAAGAUGUGAAAGCCCUGGGCUCAACCUGGGAACUGCAUUUUGAACUGGCAAGCUAGAAUACUGUAGAGGGUGGUGGAAUUUCCAGUGUAGCGGUGAAAUGCGUAGAGAUUGGAAGGAACAUCAGUGGCGAAGGCGGCCACCUGGACAGAUAUUGACGCUGAGGAACGAAAGCGUGGGGAGCGAACAGCAUUAGAAACCCGGGUAGUCC
rnacentral:rRNA from 1 species